GGGGAUUAGUGGCGAACGGGUGAGUAACACGUGAGUAACCUGCCCUUAACUCUGGGAUAAGCCUGGGAAACUGGGUCUAAUACCGGAUAUGACUCCUCAUCGCAUGGUGGGGGGUGGAAAGCUUUAUUGUGGUUUUGGAUGGACUCGCGGCCUAUCAGCUUGUUGGUGAGGUAAUGGCUCACCAAGGCGACGACGGGUAGCCGGCCUGAGAGGGUGACCGGCCACACUGGGACUGAGACACGGCCCAGACUCCUACGGGAGGCAGCAGUGGGGAAUAUUGCACAAUGGGCGCAAGCCUGAUGCAGCGACGCCGCGUGAGGGAUGACGGCCUUCGGGUUGUAAACCUCUUUCAGUAGGGAAGAAGCGAAAGUGACGGUACCUGCAGAAGAAGCGCCGGCUAACUACGUGCCAGCAGCCGCGGUAAUACGUAGGGCGCAAGCGUUAUCNNGGAAUUAUUGGGCGUAAAGAGCUCGUAGGCGGUUUGUCGCGUCUGCNGUGAAAGUCCGGGGCUCAACUCCGGAUCUGCGGUGGGUACGGGCAGACUAGAGUGAUGUAGGGGAGACUGGAAUUCCUGGUGUAGCGGUGAAAUGCGCAGAUAUCAGGAGGAACACCGAUGGCGAAGGCAGGUCUCUGGGCAUUAACUGACGCUGAGGAGCGAAAGCAUGGGGAGCGAACAGGAUUAGAUACCCCUGGUAGUCCAUGCCGUAAACGUUGGGCACUAGGUGU
rnacentral:rRNA from 1 species